UUCAGUACAGUGAAACAAAUGAAUCAACUUUAACCCUAUUUAUUUUUUUCUAUUGCAGAGAUGAACAAUUCUUCGACCUUUUCUACAAACCUAGGGCAAUAGAAAUUGAAUCAAAACAUUCAAGUGUAACAAAAACAAAAACAUAAAUCAAAGAGGGGAAGAGAGAACACCGGAUGUAUCGAGGUUCACCCAAAAACUGGGCUAAUCCUCGUUGAGCUUACCUCAAAGACUACUCUUUUCUGCACUAUGUCAAUCUGGUUACAUCUACAAGCUCAAGAUCGAUUCCAGUGCCACAGUCCAACAGAAACUCUCCCCACCCAACAUUACAAAUCUCUCUUCUUUCUCUCUCUAAUGCUCGAAAUCACAGCUCAUGAGGGAAUUUAUUCAACAGAAACGUGUAACCAUUUUCUCUAAUUUACUAGUUGAAAUUGGCAUACAAAACCAGUAACUUUUUUUUUUGUGUGUGUAAUAUGCUUGUUGAAGCUGGUAUUAAAACCAUUAAAGGUUAUAAGCAACACAUCAAGGGUUACAAAUUACUUAGUGUUUACAAAACUG